rnacentral:lncRNA from 1 species
UUAUAUGUUCCUCGAAUAAUUCUUAUAAUCUCCUCUCCUGUGUAAAGGCAAAGGCUUCAACAAAUAUAUCGGUGAUAGCCUUGUCAUUUACUUCUGCCUUCGAAAAGAGAAAUAUGUCCAUCAUUUUGUACACACUCAGACCAUCGUAUGUUACCAUAAGAAUGGAACGACGCACCUUUUGGCAAGAUUAGUCUUAAUGUCUUAUCCUACUGAAAAUCCACAUGAAAAUAAGGGUUGCUAGUCCCAUUAGGUUUGGACUAAUCUCUUAGUCCUGAUAGUCAAAUAUAGCGUCGGAUGAGAAUUUUUUUUUUUUUUUUUUCAGUUCCAAAUCCCAUAAUCUAAUUCAAUCCCAUAAUUUAUCGUUAACCUCCGAAGGCAAGGCUGAAGAGGCAAAACAUAAUGAUGUAGCAGAUGCGUUGUUGCUUGAUUUCAUCAUCCAUGACGCACUCUCUGUAUCAGUACCACUUUUAUCGGCUGCUCCAAAGAGACAAUGACGAAUCCUCUGAUCCCAUUAUUAUUAAAAUUCUUUUCAAAAAAUGAACCACAAAGUAAGACGACUUAUACGACAUUUACAAAAACCGAAGCACAUGCAAGAAAAGAAAGUCGAUAACUGGCUAUUUAAUCUUUGAAAAUUGAAAGGUUAAUAAUGAAAAAUUCAGGUCAAAAUUGAACAUUUUCUAAGGUUCUCCGAGUUCAAGUUCAAUUUGGCUUCGCCUGAUAACUCCUACGAUAUUAACCUCUAAAUUUUACUGAUAUAAUGUUACAGCAGACAACUUUAUUUUUUAUUUUCUUUAAUGCCCCCUCUCGAACCAAAACCUUGGAAUCUUGGAUUGGUAUGGUACCUACCCUAAUUUUAUAUUUGUAUGUAAAUUUUCAGCCAGCAGGGAUCUUAAAAAAUUGUCAGAGGAAUUUGAUGUUCUAAAAGGGAAACAAAUUACGGAGACACUAGUCAAUUCUACCUCUACAUAUGUAGCCUAAUUAAUUAAAUUUAUUUGUGGAUGUUGUUUGUAUUGGAAAUGUUGAUUAUGCUUUCACAAUUGAGAAAUGUUGAUUAUGCUUUCACAAUUGAGAAAUGUUGUAUAUUCAAAUUCAUGCCUUCGACUUCCUCCAAUCUUAACUAAUUGAAGUUAUGCCAUAUUCGUCAUUCCCUUUGACUAUAAUUAAAACACCUUCAGUGAAGAUUAAAACGAUAUCUAUAUCCCUAAAUUUGGAGAAAUAAUUAUAUAAACUCUCAUAUUUUUAAUAAAGAAUAUUAAGACCCUCUUUUAACUAAAAUAACUAUAUAAAAAUUUAUUUUAAAGUCAAUAUUUUUAGUUGCUAUUUAUUAAGGAUAUUAUAGCUAAAACAGAGUCUUAAUGUCUCUUACUAAAAAUUUGGGAGGCUAUAUGACUAUUUUUCUAAAUCUUAGAGGUGUAAGAGUCUUUUUUCCUCAAUAAAGAUAAGACAUAUUGUAAUGAUUCAAUAUUGUGUACGAGUACAUUCUUGUAAUGAAACGAUUUGAGAUGCUUAUUGACAUCUAAAGUUUUAUUUUUUAUACAAAGCUAGCUUGAUCUAUUAAUUUCUGAAUUAUCAUCUUUGUAAAUUGCCAUUGCGUGUAUAUUUGAAGUUCCUAUUUGUAUUGACUAAUUAAUGGGAGUUCAGUUGUGCUUGUUCAAAACUUGGAAAGUUGCAUCAAAGCUACAACUUCUUCAAAUCAUCUGAAAUAGUUUAAGCAUCCACUUAAAUUUGGGAUAUAUAUAUGGAUUUUUCAAUGUUUGAUAGUAAAAAAAUUAAGAUAACGUGCCAUACGGCAAUUUUUUUAGUCUCUUCUAUCUUGUUUGUGUGAUCUGGUUUUAACACAAAAGCAGUCUUUCGUUCUUAAAGUUGUAUGAGAGGUGUGGUGAGAUAACAUUGUUUCUGAUCAAAUCACUGUGUAAGGCUCACUGUCGUAAAUACUCAUAGGCGGCUUUUCCCCUAGGCAACUUAGGCGGUUGCCUAGAACCCCACUAUAGAUGAGACACUACAAGAAAAAGGACCUACCAUGACAGGUAAAACUAUCAUAGUAGGGGGUGCAUGACAGUUGUUCAUACCGUCAUUAUAGCCAUCGUCAAGAAUUGAUGACAGAACAAUACCCGUCAUAGCCUGUGAUGGAUAUAACCAGUCACACAACUAUCAUAAGUUUAUUUAGAGGGAAAUAUAAUAAUUUUGAAUUUGACCCUUUUUUGUUCAUGCUAUAUUUUGAAUUUUUAGCUAGAAAUCUUAAAUUUGGCGCGAAAAUGAAAAUUAUAACUAAUUAAAUUUUUUUUUUACAAUUAAUUCUGAAAUUAAAUUUAUAAUUAAUAAAAAUGACUAUUUUGUUACUACCAUGAAAUGCUUAUCAUUUUAAUAAAUGCUUAUCAUUUUAAUAAAAAUCUUGCAAUUGAUUUAGAAAUUAAAAUUUCAUAAUUUAGUUAAUUAAUUAGAUUGUUAAAAUGAAUAUUGCAAUAAAAAAUUCACUGACAAAGAAAAUGAAAUGAAUAACACUGAAUAAUUAUCGAUAAUUAUCAACAAACAUAAUUUAACCAAAUACAAGUGACAAGUCCAACAUAAAUAGAACAAGUCCAACAUAAAUAGAAGAGUAUUGUAACAACAUAAAAACCAAAUUUCAGCAACAUGUAGAAGGCUAGCUGUUUUGAGACUAAUGAACCAUGAUCAGUCUGUUUCCAGCAACACAACAAAGCCAACAACACUGAUCAUACCAAAAAAAAAAAAUUCAUUCUAGCAAUUUUAGUGAAGCAUACAACAAAUACCAAUCUAAGAAGAAGCUAAAAUCGUGCAAAGAUGCACCAAUACUCAGGACAUGUUUUUGCAUCAAAGAAAAAAGAUGGCCAACUCCAGCAAUACCCACCAUCUUCAUCAAAUUCCAACAUAGCAAGUGUAACAAGCUAGGUAACUGCACAAGUAAAUAUAACAUCAUCAAAACAUGGUGGGGAAAAUGAUCUUAAAACAUCUCCCUAGCAAUUACCACAGACUUUUUUGAAAGCUCACUGAUGUGAUGCGACGGAGCUUCUUUUAUGAUAUGCACAGAUUUUUGGUUUGGCUUUGAGCACAAUCAAAAUCCAAAGAUAUAAGUGAAGCAAGCAAACAUGCAGCUAGCCGCUCUAAUUGCAUGCAUGUGUGCUACACUAACUAUUGAAUCCAAGUAAUACAUAGUAGAGGUUGUCAUAUCAAUUAUAAGAAUUCCAUAAGGUCUAAACAAAAGUGUAAGUAUAUAAGGCUGCAUUAAAGUAUUUACACAUGAAAUUAAUUGAAUAUGUAAAUAUUCAAUGAAGAAUAAGGCCAGACCCUUUUUUUCCCUUCUCUAAAGUAAGGCAUUAAAAAGGAUUGGAGAAAUUUAUGCAACAAAAUAAAUAAAAAUAUAAAUUAUUUAGUAUUAUUAGUUGUGUAUAACACCUACCACAUAGACAAAGCAUCCACAGUAAUCUUUGCGUUCUGCAGUUUCCUGUCAAUAAGUAAUGAUAUAUAAAUAAAAUUAAAAUCAAUAGCUAUAGCUGUAAUUCUUAGGCCAAAUCAAAUUUAUAUGUACUUAAGUUCAUGAUUCUUUAAGUUUUGUUCUCUUUAGCAUGCCUUCCUACUGGUAAUCAUCUCAUGCCUUAAUUAAAGUUUAAUACUGUUUUGAAUUAGAAUAUACCAAGAAUUUGAGUGAAUGCUAGAAUUAUAACUCUUUAAGAUUAAUGCAUUGCAUGCUCAGCCUCAGCAAACUUAUCAAUCAAUGUUUGCAUACCCGAAAAAGAGACUAAAAAGAAAAACAGGAAUUAAAGAACAACUAAUAUAAGCAAUUCCUUACUUGAAAAGCUUGAUAUCACAUUUCAGAAUAAAAAUAAACAUAACAAAGUUUCCUUACCCAAAUUUACAUGAACAUCAUCAUCAAAUUUGAUGCCAUGGGAUAGGGACUCCCCCAUUUCCCUCGAGCCCCCUCACCUACAAAAUUCUGCACCCCCCUUGGAAAAAUCUGUAGUAAAAAUAAAUUUUUGUCUUGGCUGAAAAUUCCAAGUAGCCCUUUAUUGCUCUGGUAUGUAUAGUCCCAACAAACAAAUGAGAAGAUUUAUCAGAAUUUUUGAAAUAUAUUUUAAGACUAACAGGAUUGUGAAUAAACACCAACAAGAGCAUCAAAGGAACAAGAAAGAAACAUCACCAGCCUUAAGAAGUCUCCAUGCGUCUUUUCCUCUGCUUCAAUAGCUUUAUUAAGAAUUCCACCUGAUGUUGCACUAGUGAAAAUAUUAUAUUCAAUGAAUAAAUAAUUGGAAACUUCAAAGCCUGCAGUUAACUAAAUUACUAAUGACGAUUAAGAGAUUCACUCCGCAAAUUAUUCAAGAAACUUUUGCAGAUAAUAUUAAUUAGAUUUUGAAGCAAUUUUUCAAUAUUCUUUUCAUUCCCAUUGAAGGAUCAAGCAUUACGAGCCAAAAUGCAAACACAGGGCAUUACUUGAGUAGCAACUUAAUCAAUUGUCACAAGUUGUACAAGACUUUUCAAUCCAAAAGAAGGCUGAAUUGUAGAAUAAAAUGUAAUCCUAUCAUUAAAAGCCCAAACGAACAUUAUUAACUAGAUUUUUAAAUUUCUUGAAUCCUAAAACGGAGAAGCUCAUUCGUAUUAAGCUAUCAGUUCCGGCCUCACUGUUCUACUCAUCCCCGUCUCGCUCAAUUUAGCCGAUUAAUAAAGCAGCUCAAGAAAUGUUUCUAAAAUUUAAUAAAUGAGAAAAUUCUAUAAUGAAUUAUUGUAAUACUAAAACACAACAUUACCCAGAAAUGUAAUAGAACCUUUAACAAACACAUGGAAUGCAAAACCCAUAUGUAAAAAAUAUAUCAUUAAUGCAAGAGAAAAACAUGGAAUAUUUUGAAGCUCGUGUUGAAGAUUUUGAAGCUCGAUUUGAGAAAAACAAUCAAACAAAACAAUAAUGCAAAAAAAAAAAAAAAUUGAAACCCACAAAAAAAAAACCAUACUUAGGGUUUAAAAGAGAUGAGAACUUUGAAGCUCGUGUUGAAGAUAGUUGAGAUAACGGCGAAGCUCACCAUCACUUGCUAGAAAUCGCUGAGAAAUAGGUAAAGCUUGCUUGCGAAUGAGUGUGGCUUUCAGGGAUUCUUGAUGGCUAGGGUUUCGGCUGUCGUCGACAGGUAAGGUUUUGGUUUCGAUUUAGGACUGAAUUUGAUUCCGUUGUGUCAAAGAAAGACUGCGGCGGGUCAGCGGCGAGCCAAAGACAGUGAGGGUUGUCAUUGUCAGUGAGGAGCGAGCUACAUUUGAGAGAGAGAAGUUUUAGAGUAAUGAGUGAGUGUGGCCUUAACACUUGGGGAAAAAAGAGGUUGAAAUACUAAUAAAGGUGUGAAACAACGUCGUUUCACUUCUUUCUUUGUUUUGAUGUUGUUUUAUUUUUUAUUUUUUUUAUUUAGAAUUUUUAAAAUUUCGGUCAAAUCUAAAGUCAAAAUAAAAUUCUAUCAUAAUUUCUUGAUUGAGAAAAUAUAAAUUAUUAGUUGGUCAUAAGUAUUUGACAACAGUAAAUUCUAUCAUAUAUUUAUCAUAAAUUUUUGAUAGAAAAAAUUUCUGUCACGUGUAUGUCAUACUUAUAAGAUAUAAAGCCUU